rnacentral:rRNA from 1 species
CGGGUGAGUAACGCGUGAGUAACCUGCCUCUAUACCGGGGAUAGCUUCGCGAAAGUGGGAUAAUAACCGAUGUGUCCACUUCUGCUUAUGCAGAAAUGGGUAAAGGCCUCCGCAAGGAGGUUGUAUAGAGAUGGGCUCGCGUCCUAUCGAGCUAGUUGGUAGGGUAAUGGCCUACCAAGGCAUUUGACGGGUAGCUGGCCUUAGAGGGUGGUCAGCCACACGGGGACUGAGACACUGCCCCGACUCCUACGGGAGGCUGCAGUCGAGAAUCUUUAGCAAUGGACGAAAGUCUGACUAUUGCGACGCCGCGUGAGGGAUGAAGGUUUUCGGAUCGUAAACCUCUUUCGAUUGGGAAGAAGUCCCGUAAGGGAUUGACGGUACCAAGAGAAGAAGCCACGGCCAACUCCGUGCCAGCCGCAGC